AUACGUAGGUGGCGAGCGUUGUCCGGAAUUACUGGGUGUAAAGGGCGAGUAGGCGGAUUCGAAAGUCAGGUGUGAAAUACCCGGGCUUAACCCGGGAACUGCAUUUGAAACUUCGGAUCUUGAGUGAUGGAGAGGGAAGCGGAAUUCCUAGUGUAGCGGUGAAAUGCGUAGAUAUUAGGAGGAACACCAGUGGCGAAGGCGGCUUUCUGGACAUCAACUGACGCUGAGGCGCGAAAGCGUGGGGAGC
rnacentral:rRNA from 1 species